AUUUUCAUCCACAAAGAUUCAUGUCUAUCUUGAACUCAUUUCCACAAGAACAUUUGAUACUGUGGGAAAUUAUCAUCAGUUUUGCAAUCUGGAGUUGUAAAGAGUGCAGAUACUCUGCCUCUCCAGCUUUGUCUGAGAGAAGUGCUUGGUACUCCUCUUGCAAGGAUUUGCUAUCCAUAUCCCCGAGUUGUGCCUUGAAAUCAUUCGUUUUUGACUUCACAAGCUCAAUAGAUCUCCUUACCUGGCUGUUCUCUGUGACAAGUUUGGACUUCAGCUCACUCAUCUGGUUUAGCUUUGUUUUAGCGUUUAGAAUUUCUACCAACUUAUCCUGAUUUUCUUCAAUUUCACCAGUUUUCUCACUAACUUUGUCCAUCACCUGGCCAUUAUCUCCAACCCACAAGUUCUGUUUGCAAUCUUUGAUCCAACCCUGCUGUUCUCCUAGCUGAGCAGUUACUUCUUCAACAGUUUUAGCAUAAUAGUCACUUUUCUGUAGAAGUUUUGCUGACAUGUUGUUUCUUUCUUGUUGAAGGAGCUCCGAUGUCUGGUUGAGGGUGGAAGAAUCAGCUCCUAAAGAAGCAAUUUUUCUUUGUUUUUCCAAAAUCAUGGAACAGAUCUGCCCUUUUUUCUCCAGUAUCCUGGCAAUUUCCUCUCCGAGUUGGC
rnacentral:misc_RNA from 1 species